ACAAAUAUCCUAGCUAACUCUCUAAAAGCAGACUGAGCCAGAGCAAGUAUAUAGCAUAAUCGUUUUGCCUCCAAUGAAGUACUCAUCAAUAACCAAAAAAACAUCAAACACUAAAACUCCACCACCACUAACACCAUUUUGUGCGGUUGCCCCGCAUUGUUUGGUCUUUGUUUCCACGAUACGAUUCCAAAUAACGUUGUUGGAAACAAUCUACGAAGAUGAAGAAUUGGAAGAUGGAUUUGAAAUGUAGGAGCAGCAUCAGCUAGCUACUUGUUCAUUUCAAACAUGGGGUUGUUGUAUCGUUCUCUCAUAAUUAACUAUCGUGAACAUAGUAUAUACUUAAUUAAAUAUUAAUUAAAAAAUUGAUAAAUCUGAUAUUAAUUUAAUAUAAGAUACAUCAGUAUUUUAGUUAUCGUUUUUAUUUAUAUUUUAUUCCAUAAGAGUAAUAUAUAACUAAAGAUUCAAAGAUUCUAUUGUAUUAUUUUCAUUGUAAUAUUUGAUCAAAUUUAAUAUAAUUAUAAAAUGUCUAUUAUAUUUCAUUUACGAGAUCAAAUCAAGUUGGAUCCAAAUAAAAAAAAUGUCUAUGUCAAAUUUGAGUUGGAUUUUUAACCAAACACAUUCUUAUCAA
rnacentral:lncRNA from 1 species